UACAGAGGUCCCAAGCGUUGUUCGGAUUCACUGGGCUUAAAGGGCGCGUAGGCGGGUCCGGCAGUCAGGGGUGAAAUCCCACGGCCCAACCGUGGAAGUGCCUCUGAUACUUCGGACCUCGAGGGAGGUAGGGGCGUGCGGAACUCAGGGUGGAGCGGUGAAAUGCGUAGAUAUCCUGAGGAACACCGGUGGCGAAAGCGGCGCGCUGGAUCUCUUCUGACGCUGAGGCGCGAAAGCCAGGGGAGCAAACGGG
rnacentral:rRNA from 1 species